rnacentral:lncRNA from 1 species
CAAAGAAGUAUUCGGCUAGUUGCCUACUUUCUACUCUAGGCGUACAUGGUCUUUAGUAUACUUGUUAUACUUUUACUCAACAUGUACUUUUUAUUAAUGGUAAGUCUAGUAAAUUGUCGUAAAAAUAGUUUGGAGUAUUUCAUUCAAAAUGAUUGAUGAACAGACGUCUUUGGGGUCACUUGAUCAAUCAUAAGGAUAAUUCAGUUGAGACUUUCUGUAAGUGUGAAUAUCAACAUGAAAUGCAGUUGCGGUCAAAUGAGUGAUUGAAUCCGCAUGUUGAGGCACUCUUGGCGGUCAAUUCUGGCUCGUCUCCCCGGCCCAGCUGCCUGAAGGGCGGCCCCGCUUCAUGGCUGCCACCGGCCGCCCGCCCCGUGGGUGUGUUUAGACAAAAAUGGACCAGGCAUCCACCUGCUCGCGCGCGCCCUCCCGUCACACCCUACUUUCAACACCGUCACCGCGGGCUGAUCAUCUUCACUCCGCGAGGACUUUUUCGUGUUUCUUUUUAAUUCAUUCACUCUGUUUGAUUCUGGUUUCCUCUCAUUCAUGUUAACGGUCGACACUGACGCUCCCCGCUGACUCAUUGUGUUGAACGAGCCUCUUUUUCGGUUGGCAGUGAUUUCUUUUUCUUUUUUUCUUUUCUUCUUGACACAAGUGUGAAGCGAGCGCGCACGCGGCAGGUACGGACCGCCCCACCCCUCAAAGAAAAAAAAAAGCAUGUAAAAGCCGCGCGGGGGUUUCUGUCACAAUUAUUUGUGAACUUAGAGACGGAGUGCCUCCUUCUUCUGUUGGAAUUUUAUGUUUGGAUCCGAGUUUAUAUUCGAAAAACAGAGUUAUAGAAGGUAAACAACUCUUAGUAUAUCUGGAGGUUUUUCCACUAUGGAUCUGGAAGCUCUGAGGACGCUCCAUGCCCUCCUGGUGCUGUCUGGUUUGGCUCUUGGGAAUCAGUGGAGCAAUGAGGUUCUGGCUGCACCCAGGGUCUUUAUUUCCUUCAAAGAACUAAGAUCUUCGGGAACCGCUCAUCAGUUUGCCUACUUGAUCAACACAUCCGACUUCCGGAUCCUGCGUAUGGAUGAGGACCAUGACCACAUGUAUGUUGGCAGCAAGGACCACAUCCUGUCCCUGGACCUUCAUGAUGUCAACAGGAACCCACGUAUUAUCCAUUGGCCUGUGUCUGAACGAAGGAGGAUGGAAUGUCUCGUAAGUGGAAAAGAUGCCUUUGACGAAUGUGCAAACUUCAUUCGUCUCAUUGAACCGUGGAAUCGAACCCAUCUGUACGUCUGUGGAACAGGCGCUUACAAUCCAGUGUGUACCUUUGCCAACCGUGGACACAAAACCCAGGAAGAAAUUUUCCAUUUGGAGCCAGGCACAGUGGAAUCUGGGAAGGGAAAGUGCUCAUACGACCCGAAGCUCAACAGUGUGUCAGCUUUAAUCAAUGGUGAACUGUAUGCUGGCGUCUAUGUUGACUUCAUGGGAACGGAUUCCGCCAUCUUCCGUACUUUGGGGACAAAGACCGCCAUGCGAACGGAUCAGUACAACUCCAGAUGGUUAAAUGACCCCACGUUCAUCCAUGUUCACCUCAUUCCAGAUAGCGCAGAGAAAAACGAUGACAAGCUUUAUUUUUUCUUCCGAGAGAAGUCCUCAGACAUGGGCCAGAGUCCCGUCACUCAGUCUCGGAUUGGACGCAUCUGUCUGAACGACGAUGGAGGUCACUGCUGUCUGGUCAACAAGUGGAGCACCUUCCUGAAGGCCCGGCUCAUCUGCUCUGUGCCUGGAGCUGACGGCACGGAAACGCACUUUGAUGAGCUCCGUGACGUUUACAUCCAGCCCACGCAGGACACCAAAAACCCAGUCAUUUACGGUGUCUUUUCUGUCUCUGGGUCUGUGUUCAAGGGAUCGGCUGUUUGCGUGUACUCUAUGGCUGACAUUCGCAUGGUCUUCAAUGGACCCUUUGCUCACAAGGAGGGGCCCAGUUACCAGUGGGUGUCUUAUACUGGGAAGAUUCCUUACCCCCGACCAGGCACAUGCCCUGGAGGUACGUUCACCCCCAACAUGAAGUCCACAAAGGAUUACCCAGAUGAAGUCAUUAACUUCAUGAGGAAUCAUCCCGCCAUGAACAAUGCUGUGUACCCAGUACACAAGCGCCCACUAGUGGUCCGUACCAAAGUGGACUAUGAGUUCACCACCAUUGCAGUGGACCAGGUGGCGGCUGCAGAUGGCAACUAUGAGGUGCUCUUCUUAGGAACCGACAAGGGAACAGUUCAGAAACUGAUUGUGCUGCCCAAAGAUGACCUGCAGACGGAGGAACUGGUUCUGGAGGAGGUGGAGGUUUUCAAGGUUGGCCUGUGUUCCUCUUCCUGUCAUAAAUAUUAUUUUUUGUUUCAACAGUUGUAUGUGUCGUCUGCUGUGGGGCUGACCCAGCUGGCGCUUCAUCGCUGUGACAUGUACGGCGAAGCCUGCGCCGAUUGCUGUCUGGCUCGAGAUCCUUAUUGCGCCUGGGAUGGAAAGUCCUGUUCACGGUAUUCCACCUCUCAAAAGAGUCGGGUUCUGAAGACGGAACAGGGGCUGCUCUUGCGCUCUCUGCAGCUUUCGGACUCCGGCUUGUACCAAUGCACAGCCACAGAGAAGAACUUUAAACACACGCUGGUCAAGCUGCAGCUGGUGGUGCUGUCGAAUCGGGCCAUCAACAACGCUCUGGUAGAUGGCGGUGGGGGGCUAGCGUCUCUGCACGCCAAUGCAGGCCAGUACAAGGACUUGCUGACCAUUUUGACCCAGCCAGAAAUGAGCCUGAUCAAUCAGUACUGUCAGGACUACUGGCAGUUUGGAGACCCUCUGCUGGGCGCCCUCAAGCCUAAAGACCUGAGGGAGCUGAAGGAGCAGAAGAAGCCUCGCAAUCGCCGGCAUCAUCAGAGCGGCAGGGAGGGAAAGGAGCACCAGGAAGCAGAGACAUGA